rnacentral:rRNA from 1 species
GACGAACGCUGGCGGCGUGCUUAACACAUGCCAGUCGAACGGAGUGGCGAACGGGUGAGUAACACGUUGGUGACCUGACCUGCACUUCGGGAUAAGCCUGGGAAACUGGGUCUAAUCCCGGAUAGUGUGUGAUGGGCCCGCGGCCUAUCAGCUUGUUGGUUGGGUAAUGUCAUACCAAGGCGGCGACGUGUAGCCGGCCUGGGAGGGUGGACGGAAACAUUGGGACUGAGACACGGCCCAGACUCCUACGGGAGGCAGCAGUGGGGAAUAGUGCACCAUGUGCGGAAGCCUGAUGCAGCGACGCUGCGUUGGGGAUGACGGCCUGCGGGUUGGAAACGUCUUUCACCAGCGACGCGGUAGAUGGAGAAGAAGCAACGGCGAACUACGUGCCAGCAGCCGCGGUAAUUC